UACGAAGGGGGCUAGCGUUAUUCGGAAUUACUGGGCGUAAAGCGUGCGCAGGCGGCUUCUCAAGUCAGGGGUGAAAGCCCAGAGCUCAACUCUGGAAUUGCCUUUGAGACUGAGUGGCUUGAGUACGAGAGAGGUGAGUGGAAUUCCCAGUGUAGAGGUGAAAUUCGUAGAUAUUGGGAAGAACACCGGUGGCGAAGGCGGCUCACUGGCUCGUAACUGACGCUGAGGCGCGACAGCGUGGGGAGCAAACAGGA
rnacentral:rRNA from 1 species